rnacentral:lncRNA from 1 species
AAAAAAAAUACCAUAUCACUUACUCGUACUAGUACCGUACCUAAGCGUCAUAGAUCUUAUGCUGAUACGAUUUUCAUGCCACUGUAUUGAUGUUACCAUAUAUUUCCUCUGAUUAUGAUAUCAUUGUGCAAACAUAUCGGUCUGUGAACAUGAGUUUGAAGUAGAGGUUGUGUCGUUGGGUUGGGCUAUAUGCUCACUAAGCUUGAUUUUGAUUUGCAACGGAAGAUUAGGUGCACAAGCUUGAAGUGUGGUAAUGAGGUACACAAUUUUUGAUAUAGUCAAUGAAAAUUAAUUUUUUGGAAAUUCUCUUGAAAUAUGUACCAGAUCCCAUGCUCUCUCAUAUAUCGUGUUAUUUUUAUCAAUAGUACUUUGCUAGUUUUCUACUUCUGCAUACUUUUUAUGCUUCAGUUUUUUUAUAGAAUAUCUUUUUCUUUGCUGGACUUCAUUUGUGUACUAAAGAGCUAAAUAGCUUAUUGAAUAAGCCUGUUGAAUAAAGCAUACACAUAGAAAAUAAAUAUGUAUACUGAAUAAUUAAGCAAAAGACUGGAUGUUUUUUCCUUCCAAAGUAGCUAUCCCCUCUCAUUAUAGCUGUUGACAUAGUAAUCAGCCAAUUCUUUAAAAAAUAAUGUAUAUAGUUAUAGUUGUCAACAUAGUUGGUCUAGUAUUGUGAAGAGGAUAGUUGCUUGGCUACCUAAAAACUAGUUUUAGAAUUUAGAAAUGAGAAUCAUUAUUUAAUCAUUAUUCAUUUUGUGUGGCGAAUGCUACAGACUGAUGUUUUUUUUCCCAGUUAUAUAAAUAUGUUUAUUCAAUGGAUUUGAUUAUGUUGUGUUAUGCUUGUUUUUCUUAAUUCCUCGCUUCUGUUGGUAUAUUCAAGUUCUUCAAAUCUUCAAUGGUAUUUUGAUUUAUAAUUACAUAUAUAUGUUAUUUAUAACAAGAUUUCUGAUUUGAUGUCUUAUAGUUUAUAACUUUGAUGGCACAUAAAUUUGAAAUAGUUAUUGACGAUCAAGCUGGAAAACAGUUCAAAUGUAGGAUCAGUUGAGGAAGCCNNN